ACAAUGGGCGAAAGCCUGAUCCAGCAAUGCCGCGUGAGUGAUGAAGGCCUUAGGGUUGUAAAGCUCUUUUACCCGGGAUGAUAAUGACAGUACCGGGAGAAUAAGCCCCGGCUAACUCCGUGCCAGCAGCCGCGGUAAUACGGAGGGGGCUAGCGUUGUUCGGAAAUACUGGGCGUAAAGCGUACGUAGGCGGCUUGGCAAGUCAGGGGUGAAAUCCCGGAGCUCAACUCCGGAACUGCCCUUGAAACUGCCUGGCUAGAAUCUUGGAGAGGUCAGUGGAAUUCCGAGUGUAGAGGUGAAAUUCGUAGAUAUUCGGAAGAACACCAGUGGCGAAGGCGACUGACUGGACAAGUAUUGACGCUGAGGUACGAAAGCGUGGGGAGCAAACAGGAUUAGAUACCCUGGUAGUCCACGCCGUAAACGAUGAUAACUAGCUGUCCGGGCACAUGGUGUUUGGGUGGCGCAGCUAACGCAUUAAGUUAUCCGCCUGGGGAGUACGGUCGCAAGAUUA
rnacentral:rRNA from 1 species